UCUAGAACUCGAGAUAUGAGCUGAACACUGAACAGUGUCUGGGCUGUAAGACAGAUUUCGACUUCUCCGUUGUUGCUAAGAUUUGGACUUCCAAACAACAUAAUUAGGUCUUACACUCUCCAUGAAUGUUUUAGGCCUAUGUCUUAACUUUCUAGC
rnacentral:pre_miRNA from 1 species